UAUAAUUUGAGGUUUUAGAAAUAUGUUUUAUCUAUGGUUUUAUCGAUGUAUCGUAUGUUUUGAAGUCGGAUUUAAGUGUAUACAAGAGUGUUUAUUGUUAUGCGUUCUACCGUGCCAUCCCCGUGCACCCUUUGCCUAGGCUACCACUUUCAAAAGAACCUGCGCAGAACCAUGGCUGUCUCGCGCAUGUAGGGGUGAAGGGUGAUGGUGGGGAAGGGCCUUUAGCAGUGGUGGGGAUAAGUCGUUGGGGCGAGGUGUCUUUCCCCACCACUCUGACUCUCCUGCGCUGUCCUGCAUGCACGACUCAUACAGAGUCAUUGAUUGAGGUACUGGUGAACUGAUUGAAGACUUAAAAAUGUUUUGUUAUUAGUGUGAGGUGUGAUGGUACGGACAGUUGUGAUAAAUUACCACUGUUUAAGAUUUACUUUAUAUGUUUUAAAAUAAAUGUUCUACA